AACGACUCUCGCAUGCGCACAACGACUCUCACCGAGUUGCAUUCGCAGGCGAGCAGGGCUCGAUCGGGUGCGGUCCCACCUCGGGAGGCAAAGUGAUGGGCCUGGAUAACUAGGUCCCAUGCCAUCUUUGGGACAUACUCUUACUAAAAGUUUUCCGACAUCCAGUAUUUCAUCUAGCAAUCCUCACAUUGGACCACACCCUUGCCUGGCAGAUUGGAGAUUGGGAGAAACCACAAGGGGCAGACUUGAAAGGCCUCGCUGUGUUCCCACCGCGGCAGACCAAAGCGGGAGGCGUUAGCUGUCUUUGCAGGAGGCUUUCAGGCAUGAGCUUGUAAGAGAACCCUCAGCUCCAGGAGAGAGUGCAGCUGGCCAACACCUUCCCUGCAGCCUGAGCGAAGGACCAGCCACGCUGUGCCGCACUUCCAAGCCACACAACCGUGAGCUCGUAAAAAGGUGUUGUUUCAAGCUCCUGAAUUUGAGUCGUUCGUCACGUGGCACAGAAAACGGAUAGAGAGGCCGCGUAACUACCACCGGGUGAAGCCCGGGAGGUAACAGGCCAGACCCUGCGGGGCCAUCGGACACGGGGAAGACUUUGCAUUUGUGCUGAGGGACCCAGAAAACCACGCCAAGUGCGUAACUCUCAGACGUCCUCGCCCUCUGUUCCCCCUCGCCCUUCUCUCAUUUUCUGUCCUGCCCGGUUUUCAUUCCAUCGCCACCCCCUACCUCCUUAUAUCUGUCUACAGAGGUGUGUUUGCGGAUCGCCUGGGGCACUGUUGAUUGUGAGUGACGGGAAAUCUCACAAAUUACUUAACCCCCAAAUCCGGACUUCAGGAAUGGCUGGAUCCAGGAGCUCAAGGAUUCCUUUCAGAAGUCUGCGUCUUUCCCUCCCUCUGCGUUGCUGUCUUCUGCCUUGUCUUCUGCCUCGCCUUCAUUCUCUGGCAGGCCCUCCCCACGUGGUGGCUGAGAUGACCACCAGCAGUUGGGAGUCGCAGCCUGUCACCUUAACAAUCCAGUCAGAGACCCCACCUUUCCACAUGGCUCCCCUAAGAGUCCUGGGAUGACCCGGAAAGGCGCAGCUUGGGUCACAUGACCGAUGCAGAACCAAUCACAAAGGGCGGGGGAAGGGGCACUGCAGAGGGGAGGCCU